rnacentral:rRNA from 1 species
AUACGUAGGUGACAAGCGUUAUCCGGAUUUACUGGGCGUAAAGGGCGUGUAGGCGGUCUUGCAAGUCAGAAGUGAAAUUCCUGAGCUCAACUCGGGCGCUGCUUCUGAAACUGCAGGACUUGAGUGCUGGAGGGGAUAGCGGAAUUCCUAGUGGAGCGGUAAAAUGCGCAGAUAUUAGGAAGAACACCGGUGGCGAAGGCGGCUAUCUGGACAGUACCUGACGCUGAGGCGCGAAAGCGUGGGGAGCAAACAGGUUUAGAUACCCUGGUAGUCCACGCCGUAAACGAUGAAUGCUAGGUGUAGGGGGUAUCGACCCCUCCUGUGCCGGAGUAAACGCAAUAAGCAUUCCGCCUGGAGAGUACGGCCGCAAGGUUGAAACUCAAAUGAAUUGACGGGG